UACGUAGGGUCCGAGCGUUGUCCGGAAUUACUGGGCGUAAAGAGCUCGUAGGCGGUUUGUCGCGUCUGCUGUGAAAUCUGGGGGCUCAACCCCCAGCCUGCAGUGGGUACGGGCAGACUAGAGUGCGGUAGGGGAGAUCGGAAUUCCUGGUGUAGCGGUGAAAUGCGCAGAUAUCAGGAGGAACACCGGUGGCGAAGGCGGAUCUCUGGGCCGUAACUGACGCUGAGGAGCGAAAGCAUGGGUAGCGAACAGG
rnacentral:rRNA from 1 species